ACCGACACCUUCUUCAGGGUUUUGUUGCCACAGUGUGGACAAAAGAUCUGAAAGAGGAAGCUGAUAAGAAGGGUGCAUUUGUGGCAGUAGUAGUCUGUGGCAAAUAGAUUACCACACAGUGUUCUGCAACAAGCAAGGAGGAAGGACCAGCAUAGCAACAGCAGCAACACACCAGUCAUGCCAUCAUACCUUGUCCAUGGCGGAUGUGGUUCUGAAGCAAGCAUGACACCGCAGGAUGUAAGUCUUCAACUGCUUGAUGAGAUGCCCAUCCACUCCCAUCACUGACAGUCCAAUGUGCUUCAACACGUUCUGUGAAGGAAGGCUAGCUCAAGUCAGUCAAUACACACGAUUACUUGGAAAAUUACUCAAUAGAGAUAUCCAUUAAGAGUCAAUACUAUGUCAUUUUUCUUUAGUAUAAUCUGUAAAUUUACCACUUCAUUUUCUUGACAUAAUUAAGGAUGUCAUACAAGUUUUUUCCUUGUAAUAUGUAAGUUUCAAUUAAGAACACAUGUUAUUUAACUUUUUUUCCUUGUAUCUGUAAUUUUCAUCUAAUGUAAAUUAAUAUCAUUCAAAUUUUUAUUUACAUUAAAAAUGUAAAUCUGUUAAAUUCUCUGCUAGUAAUAAAAGUGUUGUUAGAAUUUCUUUAAAGUUAGUUUCCUGUAAAAAUUUAUUUUCCUGUACAGGAGGAAUCUGUAACAGUUACAAACUCUCCAUCAUUUCUUGUAAUCUGCAAAUUUGGUAUAAAAAUAAUAAUAUAUCAUAAAUAUUUAAUAUUCAAGAAUACAUAUUGUAUAUAUACAUA